GAGUUUGAUCAUGGCUCAGAACGAACGCUGGCGGCGUGCCUAACACAUGCAAGUCGAACGGAUUUAUUAGGAAGUAGCAAUACGGAAUAAUAAGUUAGUGGCGGACGGGUGAGUAACACGUAGGUAACCAACCCUCAAGCGGGGGACAACCCAGGGAAACUUGGGCUAAUACCGCAUAAGACCACGGUCUGGAAUGGCUGAGGUAAAAGGAGCAAUUCACUUGAGGAUGGGCCUGCGGCCUAUCAGGUAGUUGGCGGGGUAAUGGCCCACCAAGCCUAAGACGGGUAGCCGGACUGAGAGGUUGAACGGCCACACUGGAACUGAGACACGGUCCAGACUCCUACGGGAGGCAGCAGUGGGGAAUUUCGCGCAAUGGGCGAAAGCCUGACGCAGCGACGCCGCGUGGAGGAUGAAGGUCUUCGGAUUGUAAACUCCUUUUAUAGGGGAAAAUAAUGAUGGUACCCUAUGAAUAAGCCACGGCUAACUCUGUGCCAGCAGCCGCGGUAAGACAGAGGUGGCAAGCGUUGUUCGGAAUUACUGGGCUUAAAGGGCGCGUAGGUGGUGAUAUAAGUCCGAGGUGGAAGACUGGGGCUUAACCUCGGAAUUGCCUUGGAAACUGUAUGACUUGAGUCAGCGAGGGGAUGGCGGAAUUCCAGGUGUAGCGGUGAAAUGCGUAGAUAUCUGGAGGAAGGCCGGUG
rnacentral:rRNA from 1 species